rnacentral:lncRNA from 1 species
AAUAUAUUCCAAAAACCACACUAAUAUGUCACAUUUAGAUACUUCUCUAGGCCUUAGGAAUGAUGUACUUUAAUAGGAAUCUGCUUCUCAAAAAUAAAACCUUUAGCAUCUGGUAAUGUAUAGAUUUUUUUCUGGGCCUUUAUUUUUCUUUCCCUGCCUUUGCUUUUUGAACAAUAAUUUUGUUUCUGUAAUGACCAUCAUCAGAAGGAAUGUGUCUACCACAUCAAGCAGUAUAAUCAUCGUUGCCACAUAAUUGAAACUUUGGCAAUCUCACAUUCUACAAAAGGCAUUGGUGGUGCUGGGAUGUAUUUUUCUGAUGCUAAUUGCAACACAAUUAUGUGGGCUUAGACUGGCUGGGGCUGAGGCUGGUUAGUAAAAGUAGGAUCGUGCAAAUAAGAGGGAAGGUUUAUUCUAUGUAUGUUUUGUGGCUAUACAUAUGUGACAGACUGGAGGAAUGAGCAGAAACAACACCAGCAGAUAUGCUGAGCCAGCAUAGAAAAGGCAAGGGCAGGUACAGGGAUAAAUAGGGUCUUGUUUUUAGCCACCUGGAAUGCUCGCAUUCCCUACUUCCAUCCCUUAGGUGGCCUUUAGCUGCCAAAGAGAAUAUGUACCCAUACCACAAAAAAUGAAUAUUUUAGAAUAGCAAUCUCCUUAUAUCUUUAUUGUACAGCAUGGAUGUAAAGUGUUUGUACCUAAAAUCUGGAGAGUCGAUGGAUUAAUUCAUAUUGUAUGCAUACGGGGAGAGGUUGCUCUUACUGGAAAUUGGAACAGUGAAAGAUGGCUUGUAUUUAUUCAAUUCACCCUGAAGUACCAUUUUAGUUAUCUUUCUCAAGACAUUUGUCUUUCAGGAUUUGGGCACCAAAAUUUAAAAGGCUGAAAUCAGAUUUUACAGAAAUUACAAAUUAAUGGAAACUAACAUGCAUCCUUUUUUCCAGGGAGUCUUCAAUGGAACCAAGUUUGGGAAGAAUAGAAUUGCUGGACAAUGUAUAAAUCCUGCUUUCCAUAGAGCGAAGGAAUUCAUGGCUGAAUUGAGAAUGUUUAAAAGCUAAAAUGAAGCUGUAUCUGUUCAGGAAGUAUGUAAGACCAAAGGACCAGAAACUCAACAAUAAGCCAAAAAUAAAUACCUAGCCCAGUAGCCCA